rnacentral:rRNA from 1 species
UACAGAGGCCUCGAGCGUUAGGCGGAAUCACUGGGCUUAAAGCGUGUGUAGGCUGACUUCUAAGUGCCUUGUGAAAUCCCACGGCUCACCCGUGGAACUGCUGGGCAUACUGGGAGUCUUGAGCCACCUAGGGGCGAGCGGAACAAAUGGUGGAGCGGUGAAAUGCGUAGAUAUCAUUUGGAACGCCAACGGAGAAAUCAGCUCGCUGGGGGUGUGCUGACGCUGAGACACGAAAGCCAGGGGAGCGAACGGG